rnacentral:rRNA from 1 species
GGGGAAUAUUGGACAAUGGGCGAAAGCCUGAUCCAGCAAUACCGCGUGUGUGAAGAAGGCCUGAGGGUUGUAAAGCACUUUCAAUAGGAAGGAAUACCUACCGGUUAAUACCCGGUAGACUGACAUUACCUAUACAAGAAGCACCGGCUAACUCCGUGCCAGCAGCCGCGGUAAUACGGAGGGUGCAAGCGUUAAUCGGAAUUACUGGGCGUAAAGCGUGCGUAGGCGGUUUUUUAAGUCAGAUGUGAAAGCCCCGGGCUUAACCUGGGAACUGCAUUUGAUACUGGGAAACUAGAGUUGAGUAGAGGAGAGUGGAAUUUCAGGUGUAGCGGUGAAAUGCGUAGAGAUCUGAAGGAACACCAGUGGCGAAGGCGGCUCUCUGGACUCAAACUGACGCUGAGGUACGAAAGCGUGGGUAGCAAAC